UUAAGACUUGUUUUGGAGGUGCGGAUGGACCCUGGGGACAUGGCAGUGCCUGGCCCGGUGCUCUGCCUCUUUGACGUGGAUGGGACCCUGAUGGCCCCGCGGCAGAAAAUUACCAAAGAAAUGGAUGGCUUUCUACAAAAAUUGAGGCAGAAGAUCAGAAUUGGAGUGGUAGGCAGGUCAGGCUUUGAGAAAGUGCGGGAACAACUGGGAAACGAUGUGGUUGAAAAUACAAUUGUGUUUCCAGAAAAUGGCUUGGUAGCAUACAAAGAUGAGAAACUCUUGUAUAAACAGAAUAUUCAGGGUCACCUGGGUGAGGCCCUAAUCCAAGAUUUAAUCAACUACUGUCUGAGCUACACUUCGAAAAUAGAACUCCCAAAGAAGAGGGGUACUUUCAUUGAAUUCCGAAAUGGGAUGUUAAAUGCGUCCCUUACUGGAAGAAGCUGCAGCCAAGAAGAACGCAUUGAGUUCUACGAACUUGAUAAGAAAGAAAACAUAAUUUAAAAAUUUGUAACAGAUCUACAGAGUUUGCAGGAAAAGGCCUCAUGUUUUCCACAGGAGGCCAGAUCAGCUUUGAUGUCUUUCCUGAUGGAUGAGACAAAAUGUAUUGCCUACAACAUGUGCAAAAUGACGGUUAUAAGACCAUUUAUUUCUUUUGAGAUAAAACCAUGCCAGGUGGCAAUGACCAUGAGAUCUUCACAGACCCAAGAACCGUGGGCUACGCUGUGGCAGUGCCCAAGGAUACAUGCAGGCUCUGUGAAGUGCUCUUCUCCUGACUUGGCAAAGGAGGGGUCCUGGCCAAUAAGCCCGAGCUGAGUGCCCUCUCUCCCAUGCAA